rnacentral:rRNA from 1 species
AUUGAACGCUGGCGGCAUGCUUUACACAUGCAGGUCGAACGGUAACAGGCCUUCGGGUGCUGACGAGUGGCGAACGGGUGAGUAAUGCAUCGGAACGUGCCCAGAGGUGGGGGAUAACGCAGCGAAAGCUGUGCUAAUACCGCAUGUGAUCUGAGGAUGAAAGCGGGGGACCAGGCAGCAAUGUUUGGCCUCGCGCCUUUGGAGCGGCCGAUGUCAGAUUAGGUAGUUGGUGGGGUAAAGGCCUACCAAGCCGACGAUCUGUAGCUGGUCUGAGAGGACGACCAGCCACACUGGGACUGAGACACGGCCCAGACUCCUACGGGAGGCAGCAGUGGGGAAUUUUGGACAAUGGGCGCAAGCCUGAUCCAGCAAUGCCGCGUGCGGGAAGAAGGCCUUCGGGUUGUAAACCGCUUUUGUACGGAACGAAAAGGCUCUGGCUAAUACCUGGGGCUGAUGACGGUACCGUAAGAAUAAGCACCGGCUAACUACGUG